rnacentral:rRNA from 1 species
UACGUAGGGAGCGAGCGUUGUCCGGAAUUACUGGGUGUAAAGGGUGCGUAGGCGGGACGGCAAGUCAGAUGUGAAAUGUAUGGGCUUAACCCAUAACCUGCAUUUGAAACUGUUGUUCUUGAGUGAGGUAGAGGUAAGCGGAAUUCCUAGUGUAGCGGUGAAAUGCGUAGAUAUUAGGAGGAACAUCGGUGGCGAAGGCGGCUUACUGGGCCUUUACUGACGCUGAGGCACGAAAGCGUGGGGAGCAAACAGG